rnacentral:rRNA from 1 species
ACCCUACUAUGCCCUGCCGUAACAAAACAAUCAAAUAACUAAUUGUUCGCCAAAUAACUACGAGUAAGAACUUAAAAUUUAAAAGACUUGACGGUGCUUCAUACCAACCUAGAGGAGCCUGUCUAAUAACCGAUAAUCCACGAUUAACCCAACCCACUCUAGCCUAACAGUCUAUAUACCGCCGUCGCCAGCUUACCUUGUGAAAGAAUUAAAGUAAGCCUAAUAAUACUACAUUAACACGACAGGUCGAGGUGUAACCAAUGAGCGGGACAAAGAUGGGCUACAUUUUCUAACCCAGAAAACACGGAUAAACUAUGAAAUUAGAAACUGAAGGAGGAUUUAGCAGUAGGGUUAGAACAGAAUACUAAACCGAAAUAAAUGCAAUGAAGUGCGCACACACCGCCCGUCAUCCCUGUGUGACACAAACAAUAUACAUAAAAAAUCUUCAUCACCUGAGCA